rnacentral:lncRNA from 1 species
UACGCGCCUCAAGUACGGGAACCCUAAGAUCAAGGAGGCUAUUACCCAUAAAUUCACCGAGUAGUUGCGUCGCGCUGUGGAGAUUCGCGCCGUUUUGGAUGACGGCAAGCCCAGCCUGGCCUCCAACGGCGAUGCGGCGAUGGCUAGCAGGCCGAAAACCAAGCCCAAGGACGGCGAAGGCGGUGACUGGUAGGAUCCGGGCGGUGACUUUCCGUACUGAGUUCUAGUUUUUGUCUUCUCCGACUCAUGUUACAUACAAAUCGUACUCCAUGUCAUAAUCUCC